UACGAGGGGGGCAAGCGUUGUUCGGAAUUAUUGGGCGUAAAGGGCGCGUAGGCGGUGCGGUAAGUCACCUGUGAAAACUCUGGGCUCAACUCAGAGCCUGCAGGCGAAACUGCCGUGCUUGAGUGUGGGAGAGGUGCGUGGAAUUCCCGGUGUAGCGGUGAAAUGCGCAGAUAUCAGGAGGAACACCAAUGGCGAAGGCAGCACUCUGGGACGUGACUGACGCUGAGACGCGAAAGCGUGGGGAGCAAACAGG
rnacentral:rRNA from 1 species